CCGUGCCGUGCCGUGCCAGGACAGGACCGUGCCAGGACAGGACCGUGCCAGAACCGUGCCUUGCUGUUGCCGCCGUUAGGGGUGCGGGAGGCUUUUGCGGGACGGCCUGAUUGCCGCAUGUGCAGGUGGCACCUCUUAGCGUUCUCUGUCAUCUUGCUCCCCGGCUGAGUGUUGUCUGCUCGAGACUCCUGCGGCGCAGGAAGGCGUGGGGCCCGGACGCCUCGCGUCGCUCUGACUUUACUUUCUCUUCAGAGGCGUAGGCGCGGAGCCAAACGCAGCAGAGGUGGCAGAGAAGGCAGCGCUCUGCGGGCUCGGCACGGCGCGACAGCCUCGUUCCUCCGCUCAGCGCAGGAGCAGUUUUAAUCGCUUCGAAAUGGCAAACCCACGCGUCCAUACCUCUUGUAGGUAAACACCCGAGCCCCGGAUGUCAAACACAGCCGCGCUCCAGAGAGCGCAAGGCCACGUGGGGAAGGAGCGCCUGCUGUACUCGCAGCCUUCGGCUGAUGCUUGGAAGUGAGCUCUGAGUUCACUGAACGGCCGCCGUGUCCCGCUUGUUCCACAGAGAAUGGCGGGGCAGAUGGUGGCCUCCAGCCUGGCGCGCUAGCAUUCCGAUGUCAGGGCAGCGGGCACCGCGCUGCCUCACACCGCAGAGCUCCGCUGCACGUGCAGCAGUGAGGUGCCAGCUCCUGGCUGCCCGCUGGAGUGGGGUACGGCUGCAUCUUGUGGUCAGCUGAGACUUUGGAGCAUACGACUGUAGUGAUGUUAACAGCACAGCCAAGACCACCGGUCUCGAUAAGGCACAGAGCUGUUAGCGAUCUUUGAAAAGUGUGUGAGCCUCACUGUGUGUGAGGCUGAAGGCUUAGUACUUCGUAGCACUAGUGAAAGCAAGAUACCUCAUCUUAGGACUAUCUGGAAACAGGACUGCAGGCCCCUGCAAACUUUAGCAUUGAAGAGUUGUACCCUUGUUUUCUUUGUGCUUCUAGUGUCAGGCAGCAGUGGAGCAGGUGCCACGCGAAUCAGAUGUCUUUCUUUGGCACUGCCACUCCUGAUGCUGUAGUCUGCUCCCACCGGGAGGGGGGUGGUGCAGCGUGAAGGACCUUUCAACCUCUCUGAGCUAAUGUGGUACUGAGUAAAGAGUAAUCAAGCUUGCAAAUAAUUACUUAUUCCCAAUGAGAACAAACAGGAGUUUUGUUAUUAACUUCCAGAAACAAGCUUUUCUAGCGGGGCCAAAACAGCUCAACUGCAUUCAACAGAAUCUGCCAGUAUACAUGCUUUUGAUAAAAAUUGAUGUAUGCAGUCAUGGCCACUGCUGGGAACUUUCUGCUGAUCACAAGAUGCCCUUUUGACAGUGGGAACUACAGGCUGAACAGAGAUACUGUAUUAGGUGUCUGGCGUCGAGAUCGGGAUGUGACGUCAGGAGUAGGCAUUAACGAGGCGAUGUCGGGAUGUGACACAGCAGGACCUCCCCUGCUCUGUGAUGGAUGUAUGACACAUGCUUUAGGGGCGUAGACGAAGCACAUAGGGAAUAUAAGCUAGAGCUCACUUGUAAUAAAUGCCAUUUUGCUGUUCACCAUAUUGGUGUGAAUGUCCAGUGAUCUGGCCCUGGCCCUAUCAUGGCCGGUAUCAUAGAUCCUUAACACUGCAUCCUUAUGAAUUGCGUGUUUGAGAAAAACCAAUGUGCCUAUGAACUUAUACAACUUAAUUUUUUAUGCAGUCAAAAUAUAGCAUUUAUUGAGGAUGUGCUCAGCCAAGUUUAUGUCUAUCAAUGGAAAUGACCAUUUCAUCUCUCCUCAGAAAUAAUGAACAUAGUAUACAAAGUUGUGGAUGUUUCUAUAUUUUAGCUUGCUCUCUGGGGAGACUUAAAUGUAAGUAAGAGGUAAUUUGUUGAUAUGUAUCUCUAUGGAAGAAAUGAAGACAGAGCUAAUCUAUGUAACAUAUGUUAGAAGAGAAAUUAUGGCGUAGUAAUACUUAUGUUAGAGUUUGAACUCCAGUUACCACUUCAUACAAGAAUAAUGCUUUCAUUUUGUAAUUCAUGUUAACUAAUUGAAGCUUUGCAGGCAUGUGAAAACAAGUCAUGAUUAAACCUGCAGUUUGCUGUGUAGUGUAUCCUUAGGAGCUCUCGUGUUUCUUUAAAGCAUAUCCUGGGGUACUACUGAUUAAACUGUUUAAAUGCUUUGUAGUAUUUCUACUAUUAAUUAAAGUAUGCAAUUGAUACCUAAGCAUGCCCAUCAGCAUACAGCUGAAACAGGAUUGAAAAGCAAUAUCAGAGCAUAAGAAUCUGGAAACAAAUCUUAGCUGUAGAUUUGAGGCCCACAGGAAGUAACAAGCCUUGAAUUCUAUCAGUCCAGAAGGAGAAUCCUGCACUGAUCAGAUUUGUUUACAAAAAGGAUUAUAACUCAACUACUUUUAGCAGACAAGGAAAGUGGAAAAGGUUAUAUCAACUGCAUAACAUUUGAGAGAAUUUCCAUUUAGCAUAAAAGUACAAGGAAAGUAGUAUAAGGAAAUAUGGGCCAACGUACUAAUUUCUGAGGAGGGGGAAAAAUGAAGAACAACCAUAAACCAACCAAAAAACAUGUAGUGUGAAAAAAUUAGAUACUGUGAAUUAAAAUCAGCAAGAUACUUAGAAAGUCUUGGAAAUCGCUUAGCUCCAAAUGAUUUGUCUCAAUUGCAACUGUUCCUAAGGUAUGGUUUUAUAGGUAUAAUUCUGUGCAUCUGAAGUUUGAAGAAGGGACAUGCCAAAUGAAUCCACGUGAAUCAAGUUCAUGCUUCCCCACUAGUACAGUAGAUGUAACUUUAAACUGAAAUAUUAAGAAAAUAGCAGUAUACUAGAAACAUGUCACUUAGCAGGAAAGCAAAUUUGUGUAACAGAGGGCAUUUACUUUCAGCUUUACAUGUAUCUCUGUACUGGGACUUUUAUGUAAACAGUUUGCUUUUUCAAAUUAUUUAUCUGACUCCUUGGCUUCCAGCUCACAUAUACAAAUACGGAUGGCAUCUAUAUUGUAGAAAUAACUUGAAUUGAAGGUAAUAGAAAUGUAUUUGAAGUUCCAGGCCUUCUAGGUUUGGGAGCUUCCACUAUGUAUUUUUGUAACUACCUCUACCUUCACACCAACUACUCAUGUACAGUUAAUGCCUUUGAAAUGUAACUGGAGGUAUUCAGUACUAGUUAUAUUGUUUUCCCCAUAAAGCAGACUGGUUGACUACUGUCUACUCUACAGAUGCUUUAUUUCAUAUAAAGUGGUUUCAGCACUGGGCCCAUUUAUGUGAGAAAGUUAGGGUGGUUUGUGUUGAAACAAGCUUCCUUAGGUGUCUUUUCUAAGGUUAUAAUGUAUAGUAAAGGUUGAAUGCAGCAGACUUUUAAAUACCUUACAGCCUUACAAAAGCUGAUUCAACAGAUGCUUAAGUAUGUAGUUCAGUUACAAGCAGACCUUAGUUCAAGUGUUUACAGAAACAGAAUAUCAAGUAGGUGUUUCGCUUCAUCUUCCUUUUGGAAAUCAAUGGCUUAAAUUCCCACUGUAUGUUUUGGAUCACAGAUUAAGAAAUUAUUCUGAUAGCAUGAGUGUAAGUGAAAAGAGAUCCCUGGGGAUGAUCCCUGCAAGUAUGAAUGGGUGCUUGUUCUGAAAUUCUGUGCAGAAAGCUACUUAUAAGCAAUAUUGGUAUCCUCAGAAUAGUCUCUGCAAAUUAUAGCAAUAAUAAGAACAUGUAUUCCAUUGCAAGACUGGACUGUCUCAGGAAAAGCAGUAAGUCUCUGUUUGCAAAGGUCCAAACACUUGCCUUGAAGACCCAAAUAAUUUUCCUAACAAAAAAAUAGCUUUAUUCCUUGUACUUUCAACAAGAGCAAGACAUUGAUUGUUUGCCCUUUGCAUUUGCUUCAGAGUUCUUCCCAGUAACUGAGCUGUAUUCACUCAUCUUUACAGUAGGCAGACUAUCACUCUGAGCACGAAAUACAGUUCUUGAAUUCCUGGCUGUCCAAAAUUUGUAUACUCUUGAGUAUUCUGACCCAUGCUGUAUCAUGCAUGUGUUCUCUUUAAUAGUUGCAUACCUCAUCCAUGGUUAAGAGGAAAAUGCAAAGCAAACAAGUGAAGUAGCUUUGAUAUGUCGGUCUAGUCAAAAUUACAUAACCAAAGUGACAUGAAGCAGUUAUUUACACAUCAUUAACUAAUCAGGAAAUGCAUUUCACACUUUGAAACUAAUUGUGUAGCCUGUGUGUUUUUGGAAUAUGUAUCUUACUUUUGAUUUUUGGCUAAAUUAACGCUGCAAGACGCUGUUAGUCUGCAUGGGGAAGUUUCCAGUGAGAGAAAACAAAACACCAUCUGUUGGGAGACAGCCAGCUGACCCUGAAAUACUGUCACUCUGACUGCUCUCUGUGCUGCGUCUUGAUCUUUGCUCAGAAGAUCCUUCCAGUAAUAUUGUUUCAGAAUAACUGGAAACCACAAUCCAAGAGUGAGAGUGGAUAUUAAAAGCACACACUGGGGCCUUGGUAUAUUUUAUAUAUAGGCGUAUGGCAACAGAUCAAAGUGUGAUGCUAUGUGCUGGGGUUCUGUCUGUUUAAAUGCCCUGACCUAUUGAAUUCCAGAGGAGGAAUGUGAUCAACAUUUUUGUUUUCAGGCCAGAAUAGGCACCUGGUGGGAGUCAGAAAUAAGACUUUUCUGGAGUCUCAGAAGCUCACAACUGAUCAGCAACAAAUAGAAAAAUCAAUCUCAGGUUCUGGAGUGGUGGAGAAAAGAAGUGGAAGGGCUCGGGAGGUAUUUUUGAUGAUUUUGUUAUUUAGAAGUGAUUGAAAGCAGGAAAGAGAAACUGGAAAUGAGUCUGCAGGGCACUAAAUAGGAAGGAUGACUGAAAAAUCACAUCAGUCUGUGGAAAGAAGUGAGACUAUAGCAAGAAGAAAGAGAAAGACCAGAGAAGUUCUGAGGCGUCGUGUAAUUUCUCG